UGUUCCCUGCGGGGUACGUGAUGGUCGACCAACACUCGAACCGAUACAUAUAAAACGGGGGUUGUUCCGUCCGACCGGGUGCAAGCCCUCCUCGCAAGAGAGAGGGACGCCGAAGGAAGGCAAAUGGCUCCCACCUGAACCGUCAAGGUUCAGUGAAGGUCGAGACACACGGCUCAUGGCGGGGAACGU
rnacentral:other from 1 species